ACUCGGAGGUGGGUAGGGAUCGGCUGUGAAGAUAUAGGCAGGGUGACGGCUUUUUCCCAUCGCACUGGCCGAGUGGGGACCACAGAAUUCGCAUAUUUUGCCUUGGUUGGAACAUCUGAUCCUCAUGUUCGAGAACGUUUUAAGAGCUUAGAGUUGUUUCGUGUCACGACUUGAAAGAUGGCUGAUGCAGGCGGAGUUGGAGAACAUCAACAAGGCACCGACCUGGUCCCACUUCUCUCGUCUCCUCGAUGUUCGCCACGUCGAGCUGUUGCGCUCAUCGAGGGGUUAAACCCGAGCUCCACUGGUUCGCCGUUCGAACGACCAGAAAAAUGGCAGUUGCUUCCGCCGCCACUAUGGCCGUCGCAUCGCAGCCUACGUCCCUCUUCGUCCUCCGCCACUCGGCUACCGCCUCCCGGAUCUUUCCCCCCACUGCGCGCUUCUUCCGCCCCUCGAACCCCGGGCCGCCUCAUUUCCUAUCACCUUCCUUCCCUUGAUCGACGGAAAUCACUGAGUCGCCGCCGCCGCUGAUUCCGAGGCACAGGAUGUCGAGGUAGAUGUACAAGACGACGAAGCAGGAGGAGUCGAGGGGCCCCAUCACGGCUCGGGUGCUGGCGAAGGCGACGACGACCGCUCCGAGGAGGCGAGGAGGGAGGGGUCGACAAGGAGAAGAAGUUGACGCCGGUUUUCGCGGCCCUCGUUGGUGUUGGUGGAAUCGUGCGAUAUGUCAAAAGUGGAAGUCAGAAGUCAUUAGCUGCCUUUCUACCGUAUUAUGUGUAUGCAUGACUUCCGGCAAUAGCAGCUUUUGCAUCAUCUACGAGACUUGGUGUAUCUGCCACCCUCCGUGCGGUGAUCGGUGGCUAAAUCCUCCGUGUCUGAUACCUACUACCACCGGACUCUGUGACUGGCCCCUGUUGUUACGAAAUAUCUAUUGAAGUUUACGUGAUCGGACACGAAUCAACAGGAUUAUUUCCUGACAAAAGUAGAGAGAACAUGGAAAGAAGAACAAGUUGACGGUGGAGCAGGAAGCUCACCUGUCCCGGCGUUUCUCCAGGAAACGCUGAAGCGAGUGCCUUCUUGCCAUGGGCAGUUCUGCAAGCGAGCAAGAAGAGGAGUCACUAAUAAUCUCUGAUCUGUGAGCUAAUGGUGGAGAAAAAGGAACCACUAGAACCAAGGAAGAGGGGGGAGUUCCGACCAUCUUGCAGCUUGCACAGAGCGUCGCUGGCGGUAGGCAUCAGCUGCGGCUGGGGCUGCCCGCCGGCAGUGGAGCUUUGCAGUGACAGAGACCUCGUGAGCACCGGCCCGAGCGCCGCGGCGGCCGCGGCAGCGCUGGGGCCGACAA